rnacentral:lncRNA from 1 species
GCGUGGAAGUUGAGGAUGACUAGUGAGUUAAUUCCUUAUACCCCUUUCAGCUCUUGGAUUCCAUAUAUCUAAUUGGUACUUGCUUAAUGAGGAGGAGAAUGCUUUUGUUAAUACCACUGCCUCUACCACCAGGCAUUUUCAAUGCUAUUUCUGUUGGCACAUUUUUAUUUCAUUCCCAGGAGAGGAAAGCAGCAUGCUCUGCCCACUGCAGACACAUUUGCCAUUUACAAGCCUUUGGUUGCCCAGGAAUUAAGGACCGGGGGAAACGGCUGUUCACUUCCACCUCUGGCCCCCUGGAGAGAAACACAGGUGGCUGAAAUCAUUCACCAAGUUCUCAAGACAGAUUGUCAAGUGCGAAGAAAGCACUUUAAAGAGAUUGAUAAAAUAAGAUGUCACAACCUCCAGUACUUCUUACUAUCAGAACCAAUCCUCAGGAGAAAUGCAGUAUUUAACAACAUUUAAGAUGAAAGAAGUUUGCUUAUUAAACAAAAUGUGCCAUCACCAACUCUGUUGGCCAAUUCCACAACAUUUAUGAAUUCCUAUCCUCUUCAUCCAAGUCAUAAUAUCCUGCUUCUAAUGCCAAGCUUUGCAUCAACCCAAAUAUGUAUAAGAUGGGAAGAAGAUAUGGAGCCCAACCACAGACUGAAGAUACCUUGAUUACAGAAGGCUUUGCAGACCUCGGUUAUUUCAAACAUUUUUGUUUUCUGCUUGGUAUCACAGAGUAUUUUUACCCCAGUGCAGUAUACCAGUAAAUUAGAAUGAGAGAGAGGUGACCUUUCUUGUCAAAAUGGAAGAAGAGUGAUUGUUCAAGAGGAGGUAAGAAAGGAGAACCAACACAUUUUCAGAUGACUUUCAGGAAAGACAUAAGUGUUGGGGAUGUGAGAAGUGAUUUCAUUAAAUCUGUGGCUGUUAACCCUUGGAAAGCCUCUGUCUACAGCAAGAACACAUGUAUCUCAGUUUAAAGGCCAUGAUAUAAUCUAUAUUUGAGUGUAUUUUGUUGUUGUUGUUGCUGUGUAACAAUUUAAUACAUGCUUAGAAGCUUCCAACACCACCACCCAUUUAUUAUCUCACAGUUUCUGUGGGUCAAGAGUCUGGACACACUUUAGUUGAGUUUUCUCUUCAGGGUCUCUGGUCAGAGUUGCAGCUCAUCUAAGAUUCAGAGUCCUCUUUUGAACCCACAUGUAUAUUGGCAGACAUUUCCCCACAGUUGAAAUAUUUAUGGUGAUUUGCUUUUUCUAGGUCAGGAAGAGAGAUUUUGUACUGCUCUGAGUUUCUGAUUGUUAGACCCACUUUUAAAUGACUCACCUGAUUAGGUAAGACCCAUCCAGCAUAAUCUCUCUUUUGAUUAACUCGAAGUGAACUAAUUAGGGACCUUAAUUAUGCCUGCAAAAAUCCCUUCACCCUCUCCAUAUAAUAUAAAACAAUCAAAGAAUGGCAUCCAUCAUAUUUGCUAAGCUUUCACCCAUACUCAAGGGAUAGGAUUGCAUAGUGUAUAAACCCUAGAAAGCAAAAAUCUUGGUGCCCAGUUUAGAAUUCUGUUUACCAUGCAUGACAAAACAGAACUUCCUAAACUCCAAAAACUUUCUCUUCAUUUACAAACAGGUUUCACAUAUGCUCUCUUUAAUUAAGUGCCCCUUUUCUAUUUGCUUUUAGGACCUACUUCAAGUCCCUUCUUUACUACUUCAAGUCCCUUCUUUACAAAGCAUUGCAAAGCUUUCCAUCCAACACAGGGAGAUAGAAGUCAUUUCUCCCUUUUUGAAAAUUAAAAUACUAGUUUUGUUAUUUGUAUAAAUAUUUAAUUCCCUUUUUAAACAAGUAACUCCUUGAAUCAUGUCUGAUUUAUCUUUGCAUUGU